rfam:Ictidomys tridecemlineatus contig086155, whole genome shotgun sequence.
GGUGUUGUGGCUCAGCAGUAGAGUGCUUGCCUAGCACUUAUGAGGUCCUGGGUUCGAUCCUCAGCACCACAU